GGUCCGUCCAUUGUGGUCGAGGCGCAUCAUCGCGGUAAUUAAGCCAACGUGGUUUCAUCAGCCGGCCCAGACACCGCGACGCCUCCACCGCGUAACGGUUCUGCUGGGCUUCCGAGAAAAUCUAAAUCAUCCUCCGGCGGCGCCGCUGCCACUUGCGUCAGAUCAUCAAAAUACUCAUGUCGAAACCAUGUUCAACCAUCGACGGACAAGCUGGUACACAAUGGGACAAAAGGCGGGCGCCAUUUUACACAAACACCCCCGCAUAAACAGCGUGUGAGUGUUUGUGUGUGCAUGUAGCUUAACCGAAAGAAUUACGAGUAAUUAAUCUGUGUCUUGAAACCUGAUGCAAUGCAAUAGCCCAUUGUUUGAAAGGUGUGUGCAGAAGUGACUAGCGCUGAUGGGAACUUCUACUUGAACGUCAGGUUGGCUCCAAAAGACCACUUCACUCGGCUUUAUAUGUCAGGAAAAGGCCUUUUGCAUCGACGCGUGUGCUGGCCUCAAGCGGGCUAAAAUGUUGGGGACACACAUUAGAAGGUAUGCGUUUUAUGCAAUCGCCCCGGGUAUGCCAUCAUCGACAUCAUUAUGAUCGGUUGGUUUGUAGUUUAGUGGAUAUGCGAGCAAUAAAUAACGGAGAAUCGUAACGAAACCGUCUUCCUCAUACUGGGGAUCUUAGAUCACUUGCGUAAUUGUUAUGGUUAUGAAACACGGUGUAAAAAAUACCGUAAUUAUCAAAUUAAAUUACUAAUUUAUAAUCUAUACCUUUGUCUAAAACCAUUUGAUUGCUGUGAUCCUAGAUCACCUUUGGCUAAAACAUGAAAGUAUAUAUUUUUCAUGAUACAUGCAUUUUACUAAAAUACACCUUUUUAACGGGAGUAGACUAUUUCCUCAAGUCAUCAAUGUUAUUUAACAAUGUGAGUAACGUCUCAGAACUGAUUUGUGCCCUUUGAAGAUGUUUGUAUAAAUUGUCAGUUUUAUUGGCAAAAGUUGCUAGAGAACAAUAGAGCAAUUCUCCCCAUACUUUGGAAACGGUUAUCAUUUGUUUUUUUUAUUUGGCUCAAACUUUUUGGGGGCCUUUUUGUGUUGAUUCACCCAAAGCAGGAGUUUUCUGAUGGAUUUGGUGUUUUCGAUAAAGAUGAGAACUAUUCCCAAUCGAUGGGUCUAUUCCCAAUUGGCAUCGAUGAGAACUAUUCCCAAUUUAAAAUAAGCUUUAAACAAGCUAAGGAAAUGCUCGUUAUAACCCAUAAAAAACGUUAAAAAAUCUGUCGGAUUUAUUGGAAUCAUCUUAUUCCAGGUCUUGACAGAGACUUUGAUAGAACAAGUUUUAAAAAAAAUCUGUUUUUUAAUGCAAAAAAUUGAUUUGAUUUUUUUGAUUUUUCGUACGUUCUACUCAACUAUUGGGGCAAGACGAAUAACCCGUUGGGGCAAGAGGAACAAUGCAUGAAAAAACAUGCUAAUUUACUAACAAUUGAACUAUUAUCACUUCGAUUAAGAUGUAUUUGAAAAGUUUCUUUCAUUUUUAGAUUAAAAAAUAAUCUAUAUAUAUAAAAAAUUUCGAAGGUUUUGUUCGAACGCGAAUCAGUUGAACACGGAACGUCGGAUCGGAGCGCUCUUUGCUGCGUUGGGUUCGUAUAAGCCCAAGGAAGGUUCUUACGCUAAUAAGUUGGCACUUUGGCCACUCUGAGACCGAUUCCGGAACACCACCGUUUGUAUGGGAAAUGAAACGAAAAACUGAAUUUUGAUCAUAGGAGGCGUAAAGAUAUUUUCAAACAAAAAAAAAACAAAACGUCAAAACGGAAAAGUUUAAUGUAGAAGGUGGUAGAAAAUACAGUUUUUAGUAGGAUAAAUAAUCAAACUAAAAAAGGAAAGCUGUUUGGUCAGUCGAAAAAAUAAACCUAUUUGGCAGAGCACCCAGGCCGCAAACAAUAAAAAUGAAAGAGUAAAAGUAGAUUGCAAAAAAACAAACGAGGAACAAAUGAACAUUAGAAUACACUAAUCAACGAAGCAAAACAAACUAAGAAAGGUACUUCGUGAUUUUUGUACCAAACCAGUUUGUACCUUUCAAACUUCAAUGUAUUUUAUGGAACAACAACAAAAUUGUAUGAAAAAAAGUAUAAGGAUCAGUUCGAUAAAAGAACAAUUAAAAAAUUAACUUCAGAAGAAAAUAAGAAACAAAAGCAAACAAUUAAACAGGGCUUUUCAAUGGACUAUAUGAGGAAAGAAGGAGGA